rnacentral:rRNA from 1 species
UACGUAGGGGGCAAGCGUUGUCCGGAAUCAUUGGGCGUAAAGCGCGUGUAGGCGGCUCGAUAAGUCUGCUGUGAAAGUUCAGGGCUCAACCCUGAAAUGCCGGUGGAAACUGUCGGGCUAGAGUCCGGAAGAGGCGAGUGGAAUUCCUGGUGUAGCGGUGAAAUGCGCAGAUAUCAGGAGGAACACCAAUGGCGAAGGCAGCUCGCUGGGACGGUACUGACGCUGAGGCGCGAAAGCGUGGGGAGCAAACAGG